rnacentral:rRNA from 1 species
CGCCUCUUGCUAACAAAGGAAGUACUAGAGGUCCCGCCUGCCCUGUGACCACAAAGUUUAACGGCCGCGGUAUCCUGACCGUGCGAAGGUAGCGUAAUCAUUUGUCUUUUAAAUAGAGACCUGUAUGAAUGGCAUAACGAGGGUUUAACUGUCUCCUUCCCCCAGUCAAUGAAAUUGAUCUGCCCGUGCAGAAGCGGACAUAAAUACAUAAGACGAGAAGACCCUAUGGAGCUUUAGACAAAAGAUCAAACAUGUAAAGAAACCAAAACAACCAAAAGGAACACGAAGGCCACAAAACCCAACGUAAACUGAUCUAAAUGUCUUCGGUUGGGGCGACCAUGGGGGAAAGAAAAGCCCCCACGAGGAACAGGGACAACCCCUAAACUAAGAGGGACACCUCUAAGCAACAGAAAAUCUGACCAAAAUGACCCAGGAUACUAAUCCUGAUCAACGAACCAAGUUACCCUAGGGAUAACAGCGCAAUCCUUUCCCAGAGUCCAUAUCGACGAAAGGGUUUACGACCUCGAUGUUGGAUCAGGACAUCCUAAUGGUGCAGCCGCUAUUAAGGGUUCGUUUGUUCAACGAUUAAUAGUCCUACGUGAUCUGA